CUCUAUGGUGGGCUGGGCGGGGGCACCGAAAGGUGCGCCGGUAUCCGAUAAGGCCGGUAAUGCUAACUCUGUCCAGUCCACCACCCGU
rfam:Leminorella grimontii ATCC 33999 = DSM 5078 strain ATCC 33999 GLGR.assembly.25, whole genome shotgun sequence.